CCUACGGGAGGCAGCAGUGGGGAAUUUUGGACAAUGGGCGAAAGCCUGAUCCAGCCAUGCCGCGUGUGUGAAGAAGGUUUUUGGAUUGUAAAGCACUUUUAGUUGGGAGGAAGGGCAGUUACCUAAUACGUGAUUGUUUUGACGUUACCGACAGAAUAAGCCCCGGCUAACUUUGUGCCAGCAGCCGCGGUUAUUCAGAGGGUGCAAGCGUUAAUUGGAAUUUCUGGGCGUAAAGCGCGCGUAGGUGGUUAGUUAAGUUGGAUGGAAAUUCCCGGGCUCAACCUGGGAAAAGCAUUCAAAACAGACAGGCUAGAGUAUGUGUAGAGGGGGGGGGAAUAACCAGAGGAACGGAGAAAAGCGGAAAAAAAGGAAGGAAACCCAGAAGGGAAGGGGACCACCAGGAGGG
rnacentral:rRNA from 1 species